CCUACGGGUGGCAGCAGUGAGGAAUAUUGGUCAAUGGACGAGAGUCUGAACCAGCCUAGUAGCGUGAAGGAUGACUGCCCUAUGGGUUGUAAACUUCUUUUAUAUGGGAAUAAAAUGUUCCACGUGUGGGAUUUUGUAUGUACCAUAUGAAUAAGGAUCGGCUAACUCCGUGCCAGCAGCCGCGGUAAUACGGAGGAUCCGAGCGUUAUCCGGAUUUAUUGGGUUUAAAGGGAGCGUAGGUGGAUUGUUAAGUCAGUUGUGAAAGUUUGCGACUCAACCGUAAAAUUGCAGUUGAAACUGGCAGUCUUGAGUACAGUAGAGGUGGGCGGAAUUCGUGGUGUAGCGGUGAAAUGCUUAGAUAUCACGAAGAACUCCGAUUGCGAAGGCAGUUCACUGGACUGCAACUGACACUGAGGCUCGAAAGUGUGGGUAUCAAACAGGAGUAGAUACCCCUGUAGUC
rnacentral:rRNA from 1 species